UGAAUGCUUGAGCUUUGUGAUAGUUGAUGAUGAAAAAUGAAAGAUAUGUGAAAGAUUAACAUGUUUUGUCUUUGAAAUUUUGGUGAAAUUGAGUAAUUAGGGCUAAAUUGUGAAAAUAAAUUUUUGAGGGACUAAAAUGUGAAAUAAAUGAAAUGUGUGGACUUGUAUGAACACUAGGAACAUUCGGACUUAGUAUGGUGUGAUUAAAUUUUGUGUAUUUUGUGUUUUGUGCAAAAAGGACUAAAAAAAGAGUAAAAUGUGAGGGGGCAAAAUGGUAAUUUGCCCAUUUAUGUAUUUUUGGAUUUAAUUGAAUGAUUUGAUGGAUAAAAAGGCUAAAUUUGAAUAUUUUUAGAUCAAGAAACGAAGAAAACGGAAUUGGAUUGGGGGAAAACAAAAGUAGUCGAAUAGUCGAACGUCUCCGUCUAUAUCCGAGACUUAAGAUCAAGCUUCAAGCUCGGGGAUUGUCAGCAAGUUCAUCACUCUAUCUACUAUCUCUGUAUUAAACUGUUUAAAUUUUAACUUUGGCAUGUACAGGCUAGAUAAAUGUUUUGGUAAGUCGUACUUUGAUAUAUUGUAUAUGAAAUUAAUAGCCAUACGAAAAUGGCUUAUUUUCUUAUGGUUUAACGGGAUCAAAAUGUUAUGUUUUGUUUUAAAAA